rnacentral:rRNA from 1 species
ACGUGCCUUCUGGUUCGGAAUAACUCAGGGAAACUUGAGCUAAUACCGGAUACGCCCUUUUGGGGAAAGGUUUACUGCCGGAAGAUCGGCCCGCGUCUGAUUAGCUAGUUGGUGGGGUAACGGCCUACCAAGGCGACGAUCAGUAGCUGGUCUGAGAGGAUGAUCAGCCACACUGGGACUGAGACACGGCCCAGACUCCUACGGGAGGCAGCAGUGGGGAAUAUUGGACAAUGGGCGCAAGCCUGAUCCAGCCAUGCCGCGUGAGUGAUGAAGGCCUUAGGGUUGUAAAGCUCUUUUAUCCGGGACGAUAAUGACGGUACCGGAGGAAUAAGCCCCGGCUAACUUCGUGCCAGCAGCCGCGGUAAUACG